rnacentral:rRNA from 1 species
ACGAACGUUGGCGGCGUGCCUAACACAUGCAAGUCGAACGUGGCUAUUUCUUCGGAUAUAGUCUAGUGGCGGACAGCAGAGUAAUGCACAGGAACGUACCUCGAAGUGGGGGAUAGCCCAUCGAAAGAUGGGGUAAUACCGCAUGUGAUCGCAAGAUCAAAGCCGCAAGGCGCUUUGAGAACGGCCUGUGUCCUAUCAGGUAGUUGGUGGGGUAAAAGCCUACCAAGCCUACGACGGGUAGCUGGUCUGAGAGGAUGAUCAGCCUGAUCGGGACUGAGACACGGCCCGAACUCCUACGGGAGGCAGCAGUUGGGAAUUUUGCACAAUGGACGAAGUCUGAUGCAGCGACGCCGCAUGCAGGAAGAAGAUCUUCGGAUUGUAAACUGCUUUUAUAGGGGAGUAUUUUUGGAACGUACCCUAUGAAUAAGCACCGGCUAACUCCGUGCCAGCAGCCGCGGUAAUACGGAGGGUGCAAACGUUGUCCGGAAUCACUGGGCGUAAAGCGCAUGUAGGUGGUUUAAUACGUCUUCGAUUAAAGUCUGCUGCUUAACAGCAGGUCUGUUGGAGAUACGGUUUUACUAGAGGAUAGCAGGGGUGUGUAGAACUUUGAGUGUAGGAGUGAUAUCCGUAGAUAUUCAAAGGAAUACCAAUGGCGAAGGCAGCACACUGGGCUAUUUCUGACACUAAGAUGCGAAAGCGUGGGGAGCAAACGGGAUUAGAUACCCCGGUAGUCCACGCCGUAAACAAUGCUCACUAGAUCUUGGAGGGUAUCGACCCCCUUUUGGAUCGAAGCUAACGCGUUAAGUGAGCCGCCUGGGGAGUACGAACGCAAGUUUAAAACUCAAAGGAAUUGACGGGGACCUGCACAAGCGGUGGAGCGUGUGGUUUAAUUCGAUACUAAGCGAAGAACCUUACCCAGGCUUGACAUCCCGAGAACGUCCCCGAAAAGGGACCGUGCCGCAAGGAACUCGGUGACAGGUGUUGCAUGGCUGUCGUCAGCUCGUGCCGUGAGGUGUCCCGUUCAGUCGGUAAACGAGCGCAACCCACAUCCUGUGUUGUAUUUCUCACAGGAAACUGCCUCAGUUAAUGGGGAGGAAGGUGUGGGUGACGUCAAGUCAGCAUGGCCCUUACGCCUGGGGCUACACACGCGCUACAAUGGGGAGUAACAACGGGUUGCCAAGCCGCAAGGCGGAGCUAAUCCCAUCAAACCUCCCCUCAGUUCGGAUUGAGGGCUGCAAUUCGCCCUCAUGAAGCCGGAAUCGCUAGUAACGGCCAGUCAGCCAUAUGGCCGUGAAUACGUUCUCAGGUCUUGUACACACCGCCCGUCAAACCACGAAAGUCGGGAGCGCCCGAAGGUAGCUUUGCUAACUACGGCGAGUUCGAUGAUCAGGGUU